rnacentral:sRNA from 1 species
GCCAGGCAGGGUGGUGUAUGCCUGUAGUCUCAGCUGCUUUUGAGGCUAAGGCAGGAGGAUUGCUUGGUCCACAAGUUUGAGACCAGCCUCGGCAACAUAGAGAGACCCUGUCUCAA